UUCCUUAGACCUUGUAAUAGGAACCGC
rnacentral:sRNA from 1 species